rnacentral:rRNA from 1 species
UACGUAGGGCGCAAGCGUUGUCCGGAAUCAUUGGGCGUAAAGAGCUCGUAGGCGGUCUGUCGCGUCUGCUGUGAAAACCUAGGGCUUAACUCUGGGCGUGCAGUGGGUACGGGCAGGCUAGAGUGCGGUAGGGGAGACUGGAAUUCCUGGUGUAGCGGUGAAAUGCGCAGAUAUCAGGAGGAACACCGGUGGCGAAGGCGGGUCUCUGGGCCGUAACUGACGCUGAGGAGCGAAAGCAUGGGGAGCGAACAGG